UCAUUCACGAUCUAUCUGCAACUAGUUAUACUUUACAUUCAAAAUGACUUCUUCCGACUCAUCGCCAGAAGUACAACUCUCCUCUGUUUUUUCCUUCAAUUCCCCUUCUUUACCCUCUCAAUGGAGUUUUGAUGUAUUUUUGAGCUUUCGAGGUCAGGAUACCCGUUCUGGUUUUACUGGUCAUCUUUAUAGUGCUUUGCAGCAAAAGGGAUUCAACACUUACAUAGAUGACAUGCUUAGAAGCGGUGAAGAAAUUUCACCUGCACUUUUAAAAGCGAUUGAAGAGUCAAAGAUUUCAAUCGUUGUAUUUUCUAAAAAUUAUGCAUCAUCUACGUGGUGUUUGGAUGAGUUGGUGAAAAUCAUAGACUGUAAAGAAUCAAAGCAACAGGAGGUCUUACCGGUAUUUUACAAAGUCGAGCCAUCAACUGUACGACACCAAAUAAAUAGUUUCGAAUUAAAAACAGCGUUGGCUGAACAUAAAGACGCGUUAAAGGAUGAUGCUAAAAUUCAGAGGUGGAAGACUGCCUUAAAACAAGCUGCCAAUCUAUCCGGUUUCCAUUUACAGAGCAACGGGAACGAAUCUAAAUUUAUCGAAGAAAUUGUUCAAGAGGUCUCAAAAAUAGUACUAAAUCGUACAUAUUUGCAUGUUGCUGAGUAUCCAGUGGGAAUAAACUCUCGUGUAGAAGAUAUUAGUGAGCUAUUAUGUAUUGAGGAGAAUGACAUACGCAUGAUAGGGAUUUUUGGUGUUGGUGGAAUUGGGAAAACAACUAUUGCAAAAGAGAUGUAUAACCGCAUUACUGAUCAAUUUGAAGGCAGCUGUUUUCUUGCAAAUGUUAGAGAAUCUUCAAAACAAGAUCAAGGUGGUCUCGUAAAGUUGCAACAAACAAUUCUUUCUGACAUUCUUAAAGAUUCAAGUUUGAAAGUUAGUAAUGUCGAUCGAGGAAUCAAUUUGAUACUGGAGAAACUUCGCCGUAAAAGAAUUCUUUUGGUUCUUGAUGAUGCUGAUUGUUUGGACCAAUUAAAAAAAUUAUGUGGAGGAUGCAAUUGGUUUGGUUCUGGUAGUCGAAUCAUCAUAACAACAAGGGAUGAGGGUUUACUAAGUAAGCAUAGUGUUCAUUUCAAAUAUCGUAUGAAGGAAAUGGAUUACCAUGAAGCUCUUCAGCUCUUUAGCCAACAUGCUUUCAAAAGUGACAAACCUAAUGAUGCUUUUGCGGAUGUCAUAAAACUUGCACUAAAGUGUGCUGACGGCCUUCCACUCGCUUUACAAGUGAUAGGCUCAAAUCUAUAUGGAGAAGAUAUAGAUUUUUGGAAAAGCGAAUUGGAAAAGUACAAAAGAAUUCUAGAAGAAAAUAUCCACAAAAAACUCAAAAUAAGUUACGAUGGAUUAGAUUAUCAUACAAAAAAGAUUUUUCUUGACAUUGCAUGUUUCUUCAAAGGAGAAUACAGAGGUUAUGUCACUAAAAUAUUGGACGGUUGUGGUUUCAGUGCCUAUGCCGGUAUCAAAAAGCUCAAGGAUAAAUGUCUCAUAACUAUUGAUAAAUAUGAACGAUUGAUGAUGCAUGACUUACUAGAAGAUAUGGGUAAAGAAAUUGUCCGACAAGAAUCACCUGAAGAACCAGGCAAGCGGAGUAGAUUAUGGUUUCAUGACGAUAUUCGUGAAGUACUUGAAAGAAAUAAGGGAACAGAGGAAAUUGAAGGCAUAUUGAUAGAAAUGCCUUGGAAGGACCGCGGGAUACGUUUGGAUUCUGAGGUGUGUGCAAAAAUGGAAAAACUCAGAAUAUUAAUAGUUAGCAGCUCCGAUAACGUCAGUUUUUGUGGUGGAUUGAAUUAUCUCUCUAAUGAGUUAAGAGUUCUUGAUUGGGUCGAAUGCCCUUUGAAGUUUUUGCCAUCUUCUUUUCAUGGAGAGAAACUCGUUGAAUUCAAUAUCAGAGGAAGCAAUAUUAGAGAUUUAGGCACGAGAUUGCAAUCUAAGAACUUAACAAGUAUAGAUCUCAGUUACUGUAAAUACUUGACAAAUAUAUCGGAUCUUUCAAGUUGCUCAAAUCUAUUGCAAUUGGUUUUUGAUGGAUGUACAAGUUUAGUUGAGGUUCAUGAUUCUGUUGGAUUUUUGGAUAAGCUUUUUGAAUUGGAUUUUAGCGAUUGUUCCAGCCUAAAGAAUUUGCCAAGAAGCUUUAAGUUGAGAUCUCUAAAACUCCUUCAUCUUGACGGUUGUACUAGUCUUGAAAAUUUUCCAGAAAUUGAGUGUGAAAUGGAAUAUUUGAAAUGGGUCGAGUUAAAAGGCUGCGUAAUACAGGAGCUACCUUCAUCCAUUACAUACCUCACUGGGCUCGAGACGUUAUGUAUAAAUGAGUGCAUCAGCCUUGUGCAUUUUCGAGUAAAUAUUUUUGAGUUAGAACAUCUACGGGAUGUUUUCAUCAUUAAUUGUCCAAAUUUUGUAAAUUUUGGAAAGGAGGUGGGGCAUAAUGGACAAUUUGUGCCAUGUACACAAGAAAAUGAAAUUUCAUCAAGUAUGGAAUUGUCGCCUCCAGAAUCAAAUAAUUUAUUUAGGUCAUUUAAUUUCUCAUCCAGUUUGAGGACUUUAAAUCUAUCUCGUAGUGGUAUUGUUAGCCUUCCUCCAUGCAUCGAAAGAUUUGUUGGAUUGUCUAAACUUGAUUUGAGAGACUGCAAGCAACUUGAAGAAAUUCUACGCCUUCCACCAAAUAUAGAAAAGGUAGAUGCCACAAGAUGUUCCAGCCUAAAGAGGUUUUUACCAGAAUCAAAUAAUAGCUUAUCCCGUUUGAGGGAAUUAAAGCUCUAUGGUAGUGGUAUUGUUAGCCUUCCUCCAUGCAUCGAAGGAUUUGUUGGAUUGUCUGAACUUGAUUUGAAAUACUGCGAGCAACUUGAAGAAAUUCUACACCUUCCACCAAAUAUAGAAGAGUUAGAUGCUAGAGGAUGCGUGUUAUUGGAACACUUUCCUCAUGUAUCAACAGAAUCUUCAUUUGGUGCACCCGACUUAAAACGGCUUACAAGGAUUAACUUAUCGGAAUGCAAUAAAGUGGAAGUGGAUGUAGGGAAUCAUGCGCCAGAUCCAUUAUGGGUUCAGGAACGCUUUCGGGAGAAAGAUUCAAGUAGAAUUAUAUAUCCAGGAAGUAGGAUUCCAAAGUGGUUCAAGUAUUGCAAUGAGACUACUUCAUAUACUAAUUCUAUUGAAGUAGAAAUUGAUCAUAAUGUGUCCAUGUGUUUUGGGCAUCAAAUCGUGGCAUUAGUUUUGUGUUUUGUUGUGGGACAUCUUCCAGAAUGGAGUUUGUAUGGUUUUACUAUCUCAAUAAACGGCCAGCGGAUUGGAAAUGAUGAUACGCGGUUAAGGGAUUCAAUGGACCCACAUCGUGUAUGUCUAAAAUACAUAGCUGGAAAUUCUAUUGAUGAGAUUCUGUCAAGAAGUUACAGGGAGGGGAACAAUAAUAUGAGGUUUACAUUUGAAAGUGAUUCAGAGGAAGCAAUCUUAAAAAGUGUCGGAGUCCAUAUAAUAUAUGGGAAUGACAAUUUCAUUAAUCCUAUUCAACUUUCAAAGAGAUCCCCAGAUGAUGGUGAGCAUGACUUGGAACCCGAUUGGAACCCACAACAGAAGCGGCAAUCUUCAACCACGAGAAUUAUGGAAUUCAAAGGAUGCUAAUGAUGAUCUAAUUAUUGAAGAUUUGGAUUUAGAACUUCGACUUGGGAAUUGAAGUUCAGAAAGGAAUCGAAGUUGUGGAAGGAAUCAAAGUUGGGGGAAAGAACUGCAACGGAUGCUUGUGGAAUUUGCAGCAAAGUAAUCUCCUUGACCAUUUUACUGGAAUUUCAGUACAUAUAUUAAUAUAUACACCAGGAAUAUUGAAACAGGUUCAAAGGCCUCAAAGAAUAUGUUUUUAGACCAAGACCAGAUCUGUAAAGGGAGAUUUAAGGCAUUAUAAGGUCACCAUUAAAAGGCUAAAAUUAAUGACCAAAUUUAUGUGUGGAGGGAAGAAAGGGUAAUUGCUGAAAGUUUCUGGUUUGAGAAAUGACACAAAUCAAAGGUCCUAAAGCUUUGGAUUGGAUUAUUAUCAUACUUUUGUACCCGUUUCAUUCCAAAAGAUUGAAUUUAUUGUCAAGAACCACAGGCAUGACCUAUAUUGUUAAAUGGGUUCUGCCCCUGAAGAUCUGUCAGAUAUGGGUAAAGAAGUUGUUCGACAAGAGUCACCAAGAGAGCCUGCCAGAUGUAGUAGGUUAUGGUUUCAUGAAGACAUUCGUUAUGUACUUGAAGAAAAUACGGUUGGAGGAUUGCAGGCAACUUCAAGAAAUUCUAGAGCUUCCACCCAAUAUAGAAGAGGGGUAUGCUAAUGGAUGCAUCUCAUUGGAAAGGUUUCCCGAAGUAUCAAGAAAGUUUCAAUUCAAUACUUGCAACUUAAGGGCACUUCGAUGGAUUGAAUUGUUUAGAUGCUAUAAAAUAUUUGUGAAUAUACAGAUUCAUGUGGCAAAUCCUUUAUUCGAUGAGGGACAUCUUAAUGACUAUUUUGGCGGCAUUAUAUUUCCGGGAAGUAUGAUUCCUGACUGGUUAAUCCAUUGUAAGGAGGCUUCAAAUACUUGAUCAUGUGAAAUAGAUAUUGAUGGGCUUCUAUAUUGGGGUGAGAUUAUAGGAAUUGCCGUGUAUGCUGCCAUUGGACCUAUUUUUGGAUAUUGAAAAUUUGAACUUAAAGGAUACUCAACUCGGAAAUUUAGAGCUAUGUGGAAAGCGUAUGGUUAAUUGCGACGAAGGCUCAAUUCCAAGUGUCCUAGUGAUUGUUAUAUACUUGCAACGAUGGCAACAGUCGACAUAGGUAUAGUGGUCUUCAUCAACCACAAGAGGCAACCAUCUUUAUUGACAAAGGCUCCAGUACAGCCAUCAAACUUGCAAAAGAAAUCAGGCAUAAAGGAAUCAAACGAAUCAGGGCAAGACUCAACAAACCGCAGUGGAAAUACCAAGAAGGUUGAGAAUGUGAAGCUGACCUUUGUCAGGGAAGAUAGGGAGAGGUUUGAUCUGCAGGAAUUGCUUAAAGCCUCAACUGAGAUAUUGGGCAGUGGAUCCUUUGGGUUUUCUUACAAGGCUGCCUUGCAUAAUGGAUAGGUGAUGGUUGUGAGGCGGUUCAAACAAAUGAAUAAUUUGGGGAAAGAGGAAUUUCAAGAGCAUAUGAGCAAGCUAGGGAGGUUGAGACACCCGAAUCUGCUUCCUCUGGUGGCUUACUACUAUAUAUAGGAAGGAAGAGAAGCUCUUGGCAUUUGACUAUGUGCAGAAGGCCAGCUUGGCCGUUCAUCUACAUGGUAGUUUAGCCCCAAGACAACCUACAUAGCCCUUUGUUCAUGCCACUUGCUUUUCCAUUCCUCCUCUAUUUUGUUCAAACCACAAGUCAGCAACUUAUGGCCAUUAAUUGGUCUCUCUCUGCCACAUAUUGAAGAUGUUCAACCACACCGAAUGCUAAACUCUUGGCCACGAUAUUCGGAAUGUAUUAGAAAGAGGGAAGGUUUGAAAACAAGAAAAUACACAAGCUCUUGGCUGUCCUUCCAGUGCAGAAAAAAUUCAGCAACUUCAACCCUUGAUUUGAUUCCUAUUAAGUUUCAGCACCUUAGUUUGCCUUUAUUUCAUCUCUUCAACUCAGCCUCAAUAUGCGACAUUAGGACUACAAAAUUACCUUAAAAUCUCAGACCAAAACCAGCUCUAAGUAGCUGAAACUGAGGGGAACAGCAACACACACAACAACAGCAGAAAGUUGUAAGAGACAGCAGCAGUAACAGUUUCUCAUUUUGUUUUCCCUCUCCUUCUCACAUGUAAUCUCUUCUUACUCCAAGGACCCUCAUCUAUACAAUAUAUUCUAGUCCAGUGGAUGAAAUAUUCGAGCUCAGAAUGAAGCAAAACAGAAAACAGAAACAUCCUAUCUGCAGCAGCAGUUUUCAUAUUUGAACCCCUCAUUGUUUACUCUAAUUUCUAAUGCUUUUACCUCUUAGUUCCUCUUAACUCAAGCCUCCUCACCUCUAACUUCAUUUGGUUGAGUAGUAGAAAGUAUGGUGGAGGACAUGAUAAUUUGGAGCAAGAAAACAUCUAUGUUAGUUGCAAUUUUAUAGUGUUAAUUCUUAUAUUUUUAUUAGUUUUGAAAUAUUUAUUUUUCUUACUUAAAUUUGAACUUUAUCUUAAUGAAGGAAUUGAAGUUUGGAAAUGAAUCAAAGUUGCGGAAGGAAUCAAAGAAGGGAAAGAAUUGUAACCAUAACAAACUUCAACGAUAACAGAAUUGUGAAGAGAUUGAAGGACAUGAUUGUUGGAUCUUCUAAUCGUUUGUGGGGUUUUUCUUUCGGUUCACUUCUCUGAGAUCUAGUGGGGUAUGGAAUUUCCUUCAUGACGAGCAUUUCUUUUAAUUUUGGCUUUGGAUUGCUGGGGAAAAGUAAAAUUGUUGCUUUUAAUAACUAUAAUGUAUCUUUUUUGUUUGCUACUUUAUUUGUUUUUCGGCAGUCUGGAUAAACCAAAAAGAUUUCUUUUGGUGUUGUAGGGGUUGCAGUUUUUCGGGAUCAAGAUAUUGGUUUUUUUCAAGUUUUGUGAUCGUAAAGAUAUUGGUUUCAUACUUUCAUGAAUUAUAAAUACGGAUUUUUGGCAGACAA